GUGCAACUAAUUAAGUCGACCAGGUCCCUUUCCCCAUGGGGGCCUGGUGUGCGGUGGUUGCAAACAGCAGGCUUGGUAGUGUACGCAGCCUGUUACCUAUACGACUUGCCCUAAGGGACCUUGGAGACAAUU